UACAGAGGUCCCAAGCGUUGUUCGGAUUCACUGGGCGUAAAGCGCGUGUAGGCGGCCCGGUAAGUCCGCUGUGAAAGUCGGGGGCUCAACCCUCGAAUGCCGGUGGAUACUGUCGGGCUAGAGUGCGGAAGAGGCGAGUGGAAUUCCUGGUGUAGCGGUGAAAUGCGCAGAUAUCAGGAGGAACACCGAUUGCGAAGGCAGCUCGCUGGGACGUCACUGACGCUGGAGACGCGAAAGCGUGGGGAGCAAACAGG
rnacentral:rRNA from 1 species